UACAGAGAGUGCAAGCGUUAAUCGGAUUUAUUGGGCGUAAAGCGCACGUAGGUGGAGCUUUAAGUCGGAUGUGAAAUCCCCGAGCUUAACUUGGGAAUUGCAUUCGAUACUGGAACUCUAGAAUAUGGUAGAGGGAAGUGGAAUUUCUGGUGUAGCGGUGAAAUGCGUAGAUAUCAGAAGGAACAUCAGUGGCGAAAGCGGCUUCCUGGACCAAUAUUGACACUUAGGUGCGAAAGCGUGGGGAGCAAACAGG
rnacentral:rRNA from 1 species